GACGAACGCUGGCGGCGUGCUUAACACAUGCAAGUCGAACGGAAAGGCCCUGCUUUUGUGGGGUGCUCGAGUGGCGAACGGGUGAGUAACACGUGAGUAACCUGCCCUUGACUUUGGGAUAACUUCAGGAAACUGGGGCUAAUACCGGAUAGGAGCUCCUGCUGCAUGGUGGGGGUUGGAAAGUUUCGGCGGUUGGGGAUGGACUCGCGGCUUAUCAGCUUGUUGGUGGGGUAGUGGCUUACCAAGGCUUUGACGGGUAGCCGGCCUGAGAGGGUGACCGGCCACAUUGGGACUGAGAUACGGCCCAGACUCCUACGGGAGGAAGCAGUGGGGAAUAUUGCACAAUGGGCGGAAGCCUGAUGCAGCAACGCCGCGUGCGGGAUGACGGCCUUCGGGGUGUAAACCGCUUUCGCCUGUGACGAAGCGUGAGUGACGGUAAUGGGUAAAGAAGCACCGGCUAACUACG
rnacentral:rRNA from 1 species